rnacentral:lncRNA from 1 species
AUGUUGCCUCUCUGCCUGGUGCAGGUUGACUCCCUCCUCACCUUUCUCUGGUGCAGACUGCUCUGCGCCAGAAGGGAGCUCAGGAGCAGCACUGGCGCGCCACCUCCAGGCCCUGCGGGUCACUCGGCCACCGCCCACCACCCAGAGCUCCCGGCACCCGGCUUCGCUGAGGCCGCCACCUUCCGCGGGGAAAGCGCGAGGCCGGAUUUUCCAGCGAAGCCUCAUCGCCCCCGCGGUCGGGUAGGUCCCGGAACGCCCAGGCCGGCGCCCAGGUGGAGGAGCCCAUACCCCGGCACGCUGAGAAGAGCGCGUGCACCCCGACCCGGAGCGCGUCCAAACAGGGAGCACCCCAGACCCGGAGCGCCCCAGACUCGGAGCGCCCGCGAUCAGGAGUACCUCCCUACGAGGAGCACCCCAGAUCAGGAGCACCGUGAGUCCGAAGUAUACCCCCGCAAGGAUUGUCCCAAACCCAGAGCACCCGGCGACCGAGAGUAUCCCCCACCAAGGAGCACUUCCGACUGGAAAGACCCCACUACCGAGAGCGAACCCCAACGAGGAGGGAGCCUCCUACGACGAGGAGGAUCCCGGACAGAGAACACUCCGCGGGACCGGCAGCAGCGCCCCACUGGGAGCACCCGAGACCCGCAGCCUCCGCCAGCCAGCGGCUGCCAGACGUUUUUUCUUUCUUCUUGCUUUCUGUUUUUUGUUUGUUUCUUCUUCUUUUGUUUUUCAACCUUCUCUAGUUGCCUUCUCUCUUUAAUCACACUUGCGGCUCCUCUCUGGUUUCUUGUUUCGCAGUCCCAGGGAGGCAGGGCAGUGCUGUUUCUCACUUGCUUUUUGAACUCCUGCCUCUGCCAUCGCGACAGGUGUGAAGGAGGGACCCCCGCCCCCGCCCCGGCCUCGGCACGCCCGUCUGAAGGUGAGACCGGCGCCGCCGCUGCCAUCCACCCUCUCCCCCCUCCCUCUGCUGCCCGCCGGGGCGAAGGGCAACCCAGCCUGGGGGCAGGGAUUCUGAAAACCUGA